GACGAACGCUGGCGGCGCGCCUAACACAUGCAAGUCGAACGGAGUUUGAGAGAGCUUGCUUUUUCAAACUUAGUGGCGAACGGGUGAGUAACGCGUGAGGAACCUGCCUUUCAGAGGGGGACAACAGCUGGAAACGGCUGCUAAUACCGCAUGACGCAUGACUGGGGCAUCCCGGACAUGCCAAAGAUUUUAUCGCUGAAAGAUGGCCUCGCGUCUGAUUAGCUGGUUGGUGAGGUAACGGCCCACCAAGGCGACGAUCAGUAGCCGGACUGAGAGGUUGACCGGCCACAUUGGGACUGAGAUACGGCCCAG
rnacentral:rRNA from 1 species